AAUGCUGUUUCAAGGUAGUACCAGUACCUUGUGUUCAGUGGAACCAAGGUAAACACAAGGUAUUGGUAUUACCUUGAGAUAGCAUU
rfam:Pan troglodytes isolate Yerkes chimp pedigree #C0471 (Clint) chromosome 14, whole genome shotgun sequence.